rnacentral:misc_RNA from 1 species
GAAUCUCAAUAUUACUUGCAGCCUUUGAUCGUCGAUAGCUAUCGUUUCGAUGUGCUCGAUGCAUUUAAGAAUUCUUGAAUGCAUUUGAGUGUGAUUCGUUGCAGUUAAUUGUAUUAAAUGAAAGUUAAAAAAAAUUUAGGUACAGAAAGAAAUAAUCUCAAAAUUUGGAGCAGUCAUCUUAUAUUGCAGUGUUGUGUUCCUGAGUAAGAAAGCCAGAGCUUCUGGGGAUGCCCUAUGUUAACAGUGGGGAUAGGGUCGGCAGCACGCUUGUGAUCUCCUGGUGUAGCAUGCGCCAUCUGACUACGAUAACCGCUUACCAUCAGGUGCUACGUACAAUUAUGAAAUGAAUAAUUUACUUGUUUAUUGUUGUAACAGUGAUUUAAAUGUUUGACUAAAUUAUAUUGUUAUACAUUUAUUGUACUAUUGUUUCAUUAAAUAAAUAAAAAAA